AGAGCACAAGGAGAAUGCCUUGGCACUAGGAGCCGAUGAAAGACGUGGUAAGCUGCGAAAAGCUUCGGGGAGGCGCAAACAGCCAUCGAUCCGGAGAUAUCUGAAUGGGGAAACCUACUUGAGCAAACCUCAAGUAUCCAUACGUGAAUCCAUAGCGUAUGGAAGGGAACGCUGUGAACUGAAACAUCUAAGUAGCAGUAGGAGGAGAAAGAAAACUCGAUUUCCUAAGUAGCGGCGAGCGAACGGGAAAGAGGCCAAACCGAAGGACCUGGUUCUUCGGGGUUGCGGACUGCAAUUAGCAUUGCUGAGAGAUAGACGAAUGGUUUUGGGAAAGCCAGCCGUAGACGGUGAAAGCCCGGUAGACGAAAUCUUGAAGCAGCGAGCAGGAUCCAGAGUACCACGAGACACGAGAAACCUUGUGGGAAGCCGGGGGGACCACCCCCCAAGCCUAAAUACUCCCUAGUGACCGAUAGUGAAGCAGUACUGUGAAGGAAAGGUGAAAAGGACCCCGGGAGGGGAGUGAAAGAGAACCUGAAACCUUGUGCUUACAAACAGUCAAAGGCCUACGGGCUGAUGGCGUACUUUUUGUAGAACGGUCCGGCGAGUUACUAAUGCCAGCGAGGUUAAGAUGUCAGAAGCAUCGGAGCCGAAGGGAAACCAAGUCUGAAUAGGGCGUAGAGUUGGUAUUAGUAGACCCGAAACCGGGUGACCUAUCCAUGUCCAGGUUGAAGGAACCGUAAAAGGUUUUGGAGGACCGAACACACAUGUGUUGAAAAACGUGGUGAUGAGGUGUGGAUAGCGGAGAAAUUCCAAUCGAACUCGGAGAUAGCUGGUUCUCCUCGAAAUAGCUUUAGGGCUAGCCUCGAGCUGGAGUCUAACGGAGGUAAAGCACUGAACUGACGCGGGGCCCAAAAAGGUUACCAACUCAUAUCAAACUAAGAAUGCCGUCAAGAUACCCUCGGGAGUCAGUCUGCGUGAGAUAAGUCGCGUGGACAAAAGGGAAAGAGCCCAGACCGACAGCUAAGGUCCCAAAGUACGUGUUAAGUGGAAAAGGAUGUGGGAUUUCAUAGACAACUAGGAUGUUGGCUUAGAAGCAGCCAUACAUUUAAAGAGUGCGUAAUAGCUCACUAGUCGAGAAAACCUGCGCCGAAAAUGUAACGGGGCUAAAACACGACACCGAAGCUACGGAUUCCUUACAAAGUAAGGAGUGGUAGAGGAGCAUCCUGCAAGGACGAAGCCAAAGUGAGAGCGAUGGUGGACGAAACAGGAGAGAGAAUGCCGGAAUGAGUAGCGAGAUACAUGUGAGAAACAUGUAGGCCGAAUAUCUAAGGAUUCCUGGGUAAAGCUAAUCUUCCCAGGGUUAGUCGGGGCCUAAGGCGAGGACGAAAGUCGUAGUCGAUGGAUAACAGGUUGAUAUUCCUGUACUACACAUAAUCAGAACUGUGGGGACGCAGGAGGAUAGGGAAACCGGGGAAUGGAAAGACCCGGUCAAGCGUAAAGCUGUGGGAGAUAGGCAAAUCCGUCUUCUGUAAGUGAAACGUGAUGAGGACUGAAAAAAAGUAAGGAAGUUUCCGAAUCCACACUGCCGAGAAAAGCCGCUAUUGCGUUAUGUGUACCCGUACCGUAAACCGACACAGGUAGAUGAGGAGAAAAUCCACAGGCCGACGGGAGAAGUGUUGUUAAGGAACUCGGCAAAAUGACCCCGUAACUUCGGGAUAAGGGGAGCCUCGCAAGAGGCCGCAGAAAAGAGGCACAAGCAACUGUUUAGCAAAAACAUAGGUCUAUGCGAAACCGUAAGGUGAAGUAUAUGGGCUGACGCCUGCCCGGUGCUGGAAGGUUAAAAGGAGAGGUCAGCGCAAGCGAAGCUUUGAAUUCAAGCCCCAGUAAACGGCGGCCGUAACUAUAACGGUCCUAAGGUAGCGAAAUUCCUUGUCAGGUAAGUUCUGACCCGCACGAAUGGUGUAACGAUCUGGGCACUGUCUCGACUACCCGCCCGGCGAAAUUGUAGUACCGGUGAAGAUGCCGGUUACCCGCGACUAGACGGAAAGACCCCAUGGAGCUUUACUGUAGCCUAAUAUUGGGUUUCUUCGCGCCUUCCCGCACAACAUCCUCCAGCGUGCAGAGGACCUCAUGUCUCGAGAUCGCCUUCACUUCCGUCGGGUUCUUUAACCCAUGAGCGUCAUUCAUAUACGGCGGAUUUGUCGUAACGACAUCAAAGGAAGCCGCUCCGAAAAUCCGGCUGGCUUCCUUGAUAUCUCCAUGUACGAUCUCAAUUUUAUUUUCCAGAUGGUUUAAUUUUACGCUCCGCUCCGCCAUCCUGGCAAUCUCAUCCUGGAUCUCAAGUGCCGAAAAAUGUUCUCCCUCCGUCUUUGCGGAAAGAAGAAGCGGAAUGAUCCCCGUCCCGGUUCCAAGAUCCAGUACCCGCUCCCCGGGCUUUACAGCAGCAAAACCAGAAAGCAGAACCGCGUCCAUACCAAAGCAGAACCCAUCUGUCUUCUGGAUGAUCUGCAGUCCAUUUCUCUGAAGAUCAUCCAGACGCUCAUUUUCCUUUAACUCAAUCGUCAUCGAGUUUUGAUUUCCCUUCUUUUUUCUCAAGAGCCUCUAACUGCUUAAGUUCCGCAUCGUUCGUGGACUGCUUUUCCCGUCUCUUUUUCGGGCGGAAUUUUAACUGAUCCACUUUAUAUUCACGGAUCUCCUUCUCAUCGUUGUUCACAGUCACAAUGACCUUCACAA
rnacentral:rRNA from 1 species